rnacentral:lncRNA from 1 species
GCGUUUCAUGACGAAGCAUAAAACAGAACCCACUACAUAAUAAAUUUACAAAAGCAAAUACACAGUGGUCAUAGACAAAGCUACUACGACCUCUGAAAAAGUAACAUGAGUUUCAUGACGAAGCAUAAAACAAUACAGAGAUCAUAGACCAAGCUACUACGACCUCUGCGAAAAAAGCAGCAUGAGUUUCAUGACGAAGCAUAAAACAAUACC